rnacentral:rRNA from 1 species
CCUACGGGAGGCAGCAGUGGGGAAUAUUGGACAAUGGGGGGAACCCUGAUCCAGCCAUGCCGCGUGUGUGAAGAAGGCCCUCGGGUUGUAAAGCACUUUCAGUGAGGAAGAACGCCUGGUGGUUAAUACCCAUCAGGAAAGACAUCACUCACAGAAGAAGCACCGGCUAACUCCGUGCCAGCAGCCGCGGUAAUACGGAGGGUGCGAGCGUUAAUCGGAAUUACUGGGCGUAAAGCGCGCGUAGGUGGCUUGAUAAGCCGGUUGUGAAAGCCCCGGGCUCAACCUGGGAACGGCAUCCGGAACUGUCAAGCUAGAGUGCAGGAGAGGAAGGUAUAAUUCCCGGUGUAGCGGUGAAAUGCGUAGAGAUCGGGAGGAAUACCAGUGGCGAAGGCGGCCUUCUGGACUGACACUGACACUGAGGUGCGAAAGCGUGGGUAGCAAACAGGAUUAGAUACCCGGGUAGUC